rnacentral:rRNA from 1 species
GCCUACGGCAUCCCACCCUGGGUAACGCCCGAUCUCGUCUGAUCUCGGAAGCUAAGCAGGGUCGGGCCUGGUUAGUACUUGGAUGGGAGACCUCCUGGGAAUACCGGGUGCUGUAGGCU